rnacentral:rRNA from 1 species
AGUGAGGAAUAUUGGUCAAUGGACGCAAGUCUGAACCAGCCAUGCCGCGUGAAGGAUGAAGGCCUUCUGGGUUGUAAACUUCUUUUAUGUGGGAAGAAAACUACGGUUUCUACUGUAGCCGACGGUACCAUAGGAAUAAGCACCGGCUAACUCCGUGCCAGCAGCCGCGGUAAUACGGAGGGUGCAAGCGUUAUCCGGAUUCACUGGGUUUAAAGGGUGUGUAGGCGGGCUAUUAAGUCAGUGGUGAAAUCUCAGGGCUCAACCCUGAAACUGCCAUUGAUACUAUUAGUCUUGAAUUCUGUUGAGGUGGGCGGAAUAUGUCAUGUAGCGGUGAAAUGCUUAGAUAUGACAUAGAACACCGAUUGCGAAGGCAGCUCACUAAGCAGCGAUUGACGCUGAGGCACGAAAGCGUGGGGAUCAAA